UACUGGGGAUAUAAGGAAGAGAAUAGGAUUAGUUAUAUGUAUUAGUAAGGGAAAAAGGGAUAAAUAGGGUUGAAAAUAUUAGAAAACGUGGAUUGGGUUAUGAAAAUCGUGGAGCGUGGACGGAGUCACGUCGAGAUCCGAAAUUUUGUGAAUAAAACAAACAGUUUGAAUUUGAACCGGCAAGGAAUACAGCCACUAGAACCGGGCCGGAAGAUUUCCUGGAGAGGAACACUGGAGUCCGAGAAAGUCGACUGCAGAGAAGAAGACGAUACAACGGGACCUGAGUGAGUUCGUUCCAGUUGCGCGUGUGUGAGCCAAGUAGCGCGGGACGUGUGAAGGGGGGGGGUGAAAGAGGUCGAGUGAGCGGCCAGGGCGAUUCUAGCCACACCGCACGACCGUUGCAUCGCCGUCCAGUGCGUGCCACACGUUUGGGCUCUUUUACCAAGUGAAAACCUCGAAAUCCUAUUUACACACACACACACGCGCACACGUAUACACGAACCUAGAUAAAUUUAGGGCUGACCGGCCACGGCCAGCGAUCAGCGAGCCCACGUUAUUGAACUUAAAGAAAAACAAAUAAUCCGCACUCCAAACACCGUUCCACUGUAAAUGUUAUUUUGUUCCGUGUGUUGUCCUUUAUUCUGUAUUUAGUAUAAGCUCAAAACGUUUAACGUAAAAUCUUGGCCAGUGAAAAAAAAUAUGUAUGUAAAAACACCAACACCUUUCACAAACGUAAAUCUGCGAUCAGCUGGUCAACGCCAGAAGAUUAACCCUUAGCGGGUGACGCGGGGGUCCCAUCAGUCCACCGUAUUUGGUCGAGUGAAUUGUGGAAAAUAUUGUUUAUGUCCCGGGGACCCUUAACAAGAGCUCUUGGUAGGUCAGGUCUCCGUAGGGGCCCGAGUUGAAUUAACUCCCGUAAGACGGAUCCAGUCCCCACUCAUCUACACAUAGUCCAGUACGAAUGGGUGAGGGUAUCCCUGUAGGUUAAACGAAAUUUCAGCAGUUAUUUCCGUGUUUGUCUUUGUGUCGAACGUUUUGGUGUUUCUUUUUGGUUAGGGAUAAUUUUGAGUAUAGCUAUUUAUUAAUAAGAAAUAUGAAGUUGUCAAUUUAUAAUUAUUAAAGCUUGGAUAUAGACUGAA